rnacentral:lncRNA from 1 species
CUCCCGCACUGGACAGAGACCGGACCAGACAUAGAAACCUAUACCGACAUAUAUGAUACCGACUGCGGUGAACAGAACUCUACUUAUUUCAGAAACCAUAGACCUAUUAUGUAGGCAACGUAUAUUAUACGUAGAGCUAUCAUCAUUAGACCCCUGUCGGAGCGAUAGGGGUCUUUCGACUCCAAUAAAACGAUUGAAUAACUAGGAA